GGACAUCUUCUCCAGUUUGGUGGCGCUGUUUGUUAUUACUGACGUCACGUGAAAUACUCCAUAGAAAAAGGAAGGAUUUUGUAUAUUAUAUAUAUUAAUAUUAAUGUCAUACUGUGAUUGGCUCAUCAAUAGGGAAUGACGUCACAACAGUUAUGCAAACAAAUAAUGAAAGUAUUUACUUAAAACAUAUGCUUAGGAAAUAUUUCACAUAACUUUCUUCAUUCAAAUUUCGAUAAUCAUUGUUCUUCCUCUAAUGUUUAGUGUCGUAGCCGUAUAACUUCCAAAGAAAAGUCCACAUGAACAAUUUAUCAUAAUGAAAAUCCUCUAUUUCUCUCUAAGAAGCGACGUCUUUCUUCCUACACCACUCUAAACUCUCUUCCUGAGGCGCCAACAACUUGUUGUAUGUCAGGAUGUCAUAAUUGUGUGUGGCUGGACUAUGCUGAGGAUGUAAUUAAGCAUUAUAAUGAUUUGGGGCUUACGUUGAGUUACGAAAAGAUCCUUGAUGACAUUGACGCAAAAAUUGAUGACUCCAUGAUGAAAAGCUUUAUUAAAUUAGAAAUAA
rnacentral:lncRNA from 1 species